ACAACACAUGUACAUGUUGAUUCACGCUAACGAUUUACAGACGGAACCAUCGCACUUUACUAUUCACCCCGUUUUUACGUCCAUAUCACUCGUGUCGCAACCCGUCUUGAUUGGCUGGCUGCCCGAGCUCGCCUUAUUUGGCAGCAAUCAUUAAUGUGAUAGUGGCAAAGCAAGUCAACAAAAUAAGUAAACAAAAGAGCAAAAUGUCACACAGAACAAAAGAAGCGACCACGCAAGAACUUUCCGCAGCAGAUGCCGCAAAUGCUGAGAAAAGCCAAGAUUAUGGAGAAUUUAAACCCAAAACAGAAAGUUCUGAGACAGCUAAAGCCCUUGAAGAAGCGGCCAGAAAAAACCCGCCGAUCAAGACACAGCGAGAAAAGCCCAACACGUUGCCUUAAUUCGGAUCGCAAUACUAUGUACUUAGACUGUGACUAGUGGAAAGUAUUCGAGACUUCUCUGAUGUACUUAAGACAUCCAUCAGCUUUGCUGGUCUUUGAUAUCAUUAUCAACCAAUUUUUUCAAUAAAAAGUAAAAUUCGGCCUGGAAUUCAUUUCCAACUCAUUCCAUACCAUCAUUUUGAUACAAAUUUUUUCCGAGGUCAUGUAAAACCAGUGUAUAUGAAUACACAGAUAGAGUAUUAUCAGUAUUUUACUUAGAGAUAACGUUUUGUACAGAAUCAUGUGUAGUAAAUAAAAUCUUAU